rnacentral:miRNA from 1 species
GUAUUAUGUUGGUGCAAAAGUAAUUGCAGUUUUUGCUAUUACCUUUAGUGGCAGAAACCUCAAUUACUUUUGCACCAACCUAAUA